CACGUAGGCGGGUAUUUAAGUCAGGGGUGAAAUCCCAGAGCUCAACUCUGGAACUGCCUUUGAUACUGGGUACCUAGAGUAUGGAAGAGGUGAGUGGAAUUCCGAGUGUAGAGGUGAAAUUCGUAGAUAUUCGGAGGAACACCAGUGGCGAAGGCGGCUCACUGGCCCAUUACUGACGCUGAGGUGCGAAAGCGUGGGGAGCAAACA
rnacentral:rRNA from 1 species